AGCAGGAUAGUUUAAGUUUAAAAUUUCUAUUUUACACGUAGAGGAUAGAUAUGUUGGUUUUUGCUGCUA
rnacentral:tRNA from 1 species